AACCUCCGCAAUGUGAGAAAUCGCGACGGGGGGAUCCCAAGUGCCAUUCUUAACGGGAUGGCUUUUCAUUAGUGUAAAGAGCUUUUGGAAUAAGGGCUGGGCAAGACCGGUGCCAGCCGCCGCGGUAACACCGGCAGCUCUAGUGGCAGCAGUUUUAUUGGGCCUAAAGCGUCCGUAGCCGGUUUAAUAAGUCUCUGGUGAAAUCCUGUAGCUUAACUGUGGGAAUUGCUGGAGAUACUAUUAGACUUGAGACCGGGAGAGGUUAGAGGUACUCCCAGGGUAGAGGUGAAAUUCUGUAAUCCUGGGAGGACCGCCUGUUGCGAAGGCGUCUAACUGGAACGGUUCUGACGGUGAGGGACGAAAGUUAGGGGCGCGAACCGGAUUAGAUACCCGGGUAGUCCUAACUGUAAACGAUGCGGACUUGGUGUUGGGGUGGCUUUGAGCUGCUCCAGUGCCGAAGGGAAGCUGUUAAGUCCGCCGCCUGGGAAGUACGGUCGCAAGACUGAAACUUAAAGGAAUU
rnacentral:rRNA from 1 species